rnacentral:rRNA from 1 species
CGCAGUGGGGAAUAUUGGGCAAUGGAGGAAACUCUGACCCAGCGACGCCGCGUGCGGGAUGAAGGCCUUCGGGUUGUAAACCGCUUUCAGCAGGGAAUAAGCGCAAGUGAAGGUACCUGCAGAAGAAGCACCGGCUAACUAUGUGCCAGCAGCCGCGGUAAUACAUAGGGUGCAAGCGUUGUCCGGAAUUAUUGGGCGUAAAGAGCUCGUAGGUGGUUUGUUACGUCGGUUGUGAAAUUCAGGGGCUCAACCCCUGACUUGCAGCCGAUACGGGCAAGCUAGAGUUUGGUAGGGGAGACUGGAAUUCCUGGUGUAGCGGUGGAAUGCGCAGAUAUCAGGAGGAACACCGAUGGCGAAGGCAGGUCUCUGGGCCAAUACUGACACUGAGGAGCGAAAGCGUGGGGAGCGAACAGGAUUAGAUACCCUGGUAGUCCGGUC